CUCACACACAUGCAUACAGACGUUCCACUAACACACACCCAGUGUUUAUUUGACUUCUGUAAUAUUGCACGAACGUCCUGAGUGUUUGACAAUUAUAUCUGUGAUCUCGGGACGUUGACUAACCCGUUGAAACACGUCUAUUUAAAAUGUGAUUGCGCGCUGUACUUGCCCAACCUGGGUCACCAUGUAAUCUGUCUCCUCAGACGUGAAUGAUUUUACCAGAUGGAUUUAAUGGAAUGAUGAACAGCACUUGUCCGGAUUAGAGCUGAAACUCCUCCACCCUUUGGACAAAGAGGGAGAGAGGGGGAGGUCACAUGACUUGAAUGACACCAGCUUUAAGUCUUAUGUGCACAACUGCAAAGGUUAAGUAAUUGUGUACAAUGUCAGCGGUAGCUUUGUGUCAAACAAAAACAGACCACAUGCAUUUGUGUGAUGCACUCAACACUUUCAGCCACCACACAACAGCACACAUGCAGAAAAGUUUGGGGUCAGUAGAAUUUCAGGGUUUUUUU